CAGCCGCCGCGGGAAUACGUAGGUGGCAAGCGUUGUCCGGAAUUAUUGGGCGUAAAGCGCGCGCAGGUGGUUUAAUAAGUUUGAUGUGAAAGCCCACGGCUCAACCGUGGAGGGUCAUUGGAAACUGUUAAACUUGAGUGCAGGAGAGAAAAGUGGAAUUCCUAGUGUAGCGGUGAAAUGCGUAGAGAUUAGGAGGAACACCAGUGGCGAAGGCGGCUUUUUGGCCUGUAACCGACACUGAGGCGCGAAAGCGUGGGGAGCAAACAGGAUUAGAUACCCCAGUAGUCCCUGUCUCUUAUAC
rnacentral:rRNA from 1 species